UCAGACGAUGCGUCAUGCAUAUCAAUAAGCGGAGGAAAAGAAACUAACAAGGAUUCCCCUAGUAACGGCGAGUGAAGCGGGAAGAGCUCAAAUUUGAAAUCUUAAAGGGUUUCCCUUUACGAAUUGUAGUUUAAAGAAGUGCUUUUCUGUUGAGGUUUUGGUAAAAGUUCUUUGGAAUAGGACAUCAUAGAGGGUGAGAAUCCCGUAUUUGACCUUUACUUUCAACUUUGUGAUACACUUUCAAAGAGUCGGAUUGUUUGGGAAUGCAGUCCAAAAUGGGUGGUAAAUUUCAUCUAAAGCUAAAUAUUGGCGAGAGACCGAUAGCGAACAAGUACCGUGAGGGAAAGAUGAAAAGAACUUUGAAAAGAGAGUUAAACAGUACGUGAAAUUGUCAAAAGGGAAGCGUUUGACACCAGUGUUGUUUUUCUGAAAAUCAAUUAAAGAACUGUUUAUGCUAAGUUGUUUAGACUUUAUCAGCUAACUGUUUAGUUUUGAGCUUUUCUUUAAUGCACUUUUCAGUUAACAAGUCAACAUCAGUUUCUUUUGCUGUAAAAAAGCUUGAGGAAGGUGGCUUGAGAUUCGUCUUAAGUGUUUAUAGCCUCUUGCCUAUGCAGUCGGAGAGAUUGAGGUCUGCAGCGUAGAUCCUUCGGGGCUAAAUGCAUUUGUGCUAAGUUAUAGCAUUUUAUAGACAUCUUGUUGACUAUGAUUUGUCUUGUAGCUUACUCGCUUAUGUUAUUUUACCUACGCUUAGGAUGUUGAAUCUGUGCGAGACUAC
rnacentral:rRNA from 1 species